rnacentral:sRNA from 1 species
ACGCAGAAGGGAGGUGGUCCGAACAAUGGUUAGUCAUUAUUGGGCUAGCGAGGUGGCUGUCCGCUAGGACGCGCCAAGUCAGGACCUUCCGUCCAGACGUCGUGCCCUUCGGGCACUGGUGGCGUCCGGCGUAAUCCAAGGCAGACACCGGAACCCCGGGCAGCCGGCGGGGCGAGUUCCCCUCUCCCCAUGGUCCAGCCGGCCCUUCCCAUCGUGACCGAUCACGGCGGGGAGGAGCACGCCCGGGGUUCUUUCAU